UCUCCGUUGGUGAACCAGCGGAGGGAUCAUUACAGGACUCGCAAGACUCCUUCACCCUGUGAACCUCACUACAAGCCCGUUGCUUCGGCGGGUGUCCCGGCGGGGGUUUUCCCUCGCCGGGGCGCACAGCCCGCCGGCAGCCUACUAUACUCUGUCUCUUUGCGUUGGCAUCUCGAGAAAAAACAAACAAGUUAAAACUUUCAACAACGGAUCUCUUGGUUCUG
rnacentral:misc_RNA from 1 species